ensembl:lncRNA
UUUUUACCUUGCAUAAAGUUAGUAAGUAUCCAAGUCUGUUCUUUUCUUGAUUUAGUCUGAGCCUUUGAGUUUUUAUGAUUUUCCACCUUGACCACCUCUCCAGGAUUUCCCUCCCCAAAACCCCUGGCCCAUGCUUUCACUCAGGGUCAGAGGUUUUGGCUAUGGAUGAGAUCUUUCAGGUUCCUUUUCUUCUUCUGGUCUAAUUCUACAGCUGGGAGACAGCAGUGGCACUGAGUAGAGACUGUUCGUUAAGUAAGGAGCUAAGAGUGGGACACGUCCAGUAUUCAAUUUGUAUAGUAAUAAUACAUCAAGGAGAGAAUCACUCACACGUGGGAGGAAGACCUCCCAGAGGGCAGGGCUUCUCAGGUAUUUAUGAUUUCAGGACUUAGAAACAUGAAACACCGUGAGCAAAGUCAGGGGUGUCUAAUAUCACGGACCAGGACUUUCUGCUUCCUCUUAAGUCUUCUCAGAGAUCCAGAACCUGUCUCCUUAACUUUUCUUCUGACCCACACCCAAUUCAAGGCUCUUCUUCUGUGAAACACCUGAGCCAUCUUUAAGUCUCUUUUAAGGGGUUGGAUCAUGCCAGAGGAAGUGUCUCUCUGGCCACGCUACGUGGUCAGACCCAGCAGCUGAGGAGCAACAAGGACAAGCUCUUGAAGUAUCAGAGGAACAUAUCAGAUAGCAUCACAGCAGAGAAUGCCUCGCUGCCAAUUAUUUGUUAAGAGCCCAGGCACGGAAGGCUUUGUCAUCUUUAAUGGUUGCUCUAAGCAGCUCAAACACUCCAAGGGCUUCCUGUCUCACUCAGAAUUAAAUCCAAUCCCUUAUCUCCGUCUUCAAGGCUCUGCCUCACCCUUCCUGGCCACCCCUACCCCUCCAAGGAAAACCGCCUGACUUCUAACCUCAGAGAUUCAAACCUGAAGUUUCUAAAUUGUUUCAGGUAUUUAUAAUAAAUCAGGAAAUCUGCAUUUCUUUCAUCCUUUGAGAAAUCAGAUCCGGCAACAGUGGACGUGAGUCCUCUCGAGGCGGUGACCUGCGGAGGGGGAGCCGCUGUCCCUUAAGGAGGGCGUGGCCUCUCCAGGCCCACUUGGCUCACCUCAUUUGUCACCUGCCUGGUCCGCUGAUAUAAGAGCUUCCGAUAUUUGUAUUUUUCCAUCUUUUGAUUCCAAUUUCAAUGUCUUUAUACUUUUGACCGCCCAAGCCUUUUGCACAACAAGAUAGUAUUACAUAAAUAAAUAACUGUAUCAAGAAGGAAAAAAAAGAAGUAAAAAAAGCACUAUAUAUAUGCUUGGAUAAUAAGUAAUUCAACACAUGCGUGCAACAGAAAUGUUAACUAGAACAAGCACUAUCUGAGGAUUAACAGGAACCUUUUUUUGAAGAUUUCAAACAAAUUCGACUUUCAGUCUAACUGCUUAAUCUAAAGUAUUUCUACAAAGCUCAUCAGAGCCUCUAUUUGUCAUAGACUUUUGAGUUUAUUGUUGUGACCACAUAAGAGGACCAUUUUUUUGGUCUUUAAAUUGUUGUAGGGGCCUCCCCGUGGCCUGGUGGUUGAGUUCGGCACACUCUGCUUCAGCAACUGGGGUUGGCGGGUUCGGAUCCUGGACACAGACCUAUACCACUUGUUUGCCGUGCGGUAGCAAUGACCCACAUAUAAAAUAGAUGAAGACUGGCACAGAUGUGAGCUCAAAGCUAAUCCUCCUCAGGCA